rnacentral:rRNA from 1 species
UUCUUGGUCCAUUAGAGGAAGUAAAAGUCGUAACAAGGUUUCCGUAGGUGAACCUGCGGAAGGAUCAUUACAAGUGAAAGCUGCCGAACGCUAGAAAUAGUGGAUAGGUGCUUUACACCCACCCGUGUUUACAUACUAUUGUUGCUUUGGCGGGCCGUGGCCUCCACUGCGGGCUCUGCUCGCGUGUGCCCGCCAGAGAACUAAAUUCUGAAUGUCAGUGAUGUCUGAGUACUAUCUAAUAGUUAAAACUUUCAACAACGGAUCUCUUGGUUCUGGCAUCGAUGAAGAACGCAGCGAAAUGCGAUAAGUAAUGUGAAUUGCAGAAUUCAGUGAAUCAUCGAAUCUUUGAACGCACAUUGCGCCCUGUGGUAUUCCGCAGGGCAUGCCUGUUCGAGCGUCAUUUGACCACUCAAGCUUAGCUUGGUAUUGGGGCACGCGGUUCCGCGGCCCUCAAAAACAGUGGCGGCGCCGGUGGGCUCUAAGCGUAGUACAUACUCCCGCUAUAGAGUUCCCCCGGUGGCUCGCCAAAAUCCCCCAAUCUUCUCAGGUUGACCUCGGAUCAGGUAGGGAUACCCGCUGAACUUAAGCAUAUCAAUAAGCGGAGGACACAAGGGUUGACCUCGGAUCAGGUAGGGAUACCCGCUGAACUUAAGCAUAUCAAUAAGCGGAGGAA